UCUGGUUGAUCCUGCCAGAGGUCACCGCUAUUGGAAUCCGAUUAAGCCAUGCGAGUCUAAAGGACUUCGGUCCUUGGCAGACGGCUCAGUAACACGCGGAUAAUCUGCCCUUGGGUGGGGAACAAUCUCGGGAAACUGAGCAUAAUUCCCCAUAGGCAUAGAAUGCUGGAAUGCUUCUAUGCUCAAAGCCCCGGCGCCCAAGGAUGAGUCUGCGGCCUAUCAGGUAGUAGUGGGUGUAAUGGACCCACUAGCCUUUGACGGGUACGGGCCUUGAGAGAGGUAGCCCGGAGAUGGACUCUGAGACACGAGUCCAGGCCCUACGGGGCGCAGCAGGCGCGAAAACUUCGCAAUGUGGGAAACCACGACGAGGGGAUUCCAAGUGCCAUGGCAUUGCUAUGGCUGUUCAUGUGCCUAAAAAGCACGUGAAGUAAGGGCUGGGUAAGACGGGUGCCAGCCGCCGCGGUAAUACCCGCAGCCCAAGUGGUGAUCGCUAUUAUUGAGCCUAAAGCGUCCGUAGCCUGUCUGAUAAAUCCUUGGGUAAAUCGAACAGCUCAACUGUUCGAAGUCCGAGGUGACUGUCAGACUUGGAACCGGAAGAGGUCAGAGGUACUCCGGGGGUAGGGGUGAAAUCCUGUAAUCCUCGGGGGACCACCAGUGGCGAAGGCGUCUGACUAGAACGGAUUCGACGGUAAGGGACGAAGCCCUGGGGCGCAAACCGGAUUAGAUACCCGGGUAGUCCAGGGUGUAAACGCUGCAGGCUUGGUGUCGGGGGUCCUACGAGGGCACUCGGUGCCGGAGAGAAGUUGUUAAGCCUGCCGCUUGGGGAGUACGGUCGCGAGACUGAAACUUAAAGGAAUUGGCGGGGGAGCACAGCAACGGGAGGAGCGUGCGGUUCAAUUGGAUUCAACGCCGUAAAACUCACCGGGAGCGACGGUUACAUGAAGGUCAAGCUGAUGACUUUACCUGAUUUUCCGAGAGGUGGUGCAUGGCCGCCGUCAGUUCGUACCGUAAGGCGUUCUGUUAAGUCAGAUAACGAACGAGACCCUCGCUCUUAAUUGCCAGCCUUCCCUCCGGGGAAGGGGAACAUUAAGAGAACCGCUGGCGCUAAGUCAGAGGAAGGCGAGGUCAACGGUAGGUCAGUAUGCCCCGAAUCUCCCGGGCUACACGCGCGCUACAAAGGACAGGACAAUGGGAUUCAACACCGAGAGGUGAAGGUAACCUCGAAACCUGUCCGUAGUUCGGAUUGAGGGCUGUAACUCGCCCUCAUGAAGCUGGAUUCCGUAGUAAUCGCAGAUCAACAUCCUGCGGUGAAUAUGCCCCUGCUCCUUGCACACACCGCCCGUCAAACCAUCUGAGUUGGGUCUGGAUGAGGGCACCCUUGAUUGGGGUGUUCGAAUCUAGGCUCAGCAAGGAGGGUUAAGUCGUAACAAGGUA
rnacentral:rRNA from 1 species